rnacentral:rRNA from 1 species
CAUAGCGACUAUCGUGGCAUAUCAAUAAGCGGAGGAAAAGAAACUAACUAGGAUUCCCUCAGUAACGGCGAGUGAAGCGGGAAGAGCUCAAAUUUGAAAUCUUCAAGGUUCUACCUUGACGAAUUGUAGUUUAAAGAAGUGUUUUCUGUUAGUGGAGUGGCAAAAGUUCUUUGGAAUAGGACAUCAUAGAGGGUGAGAAUCCCGUAUUUGGUCAUUCCUCCUAGCGUUGUGAUACACUUUCAACGAGUCGGAUUGUUUGGGAAUGCAGUCCAAAAUGGGUGGUAAAUUUCAUCUAAAGCUAAAUAUUGGCGAGAGACCGAUAGCGAACAAGUACCGUGAGGGAAAGAUGAAAAGAACUUUGAAAAGAGAGUUAAACAGUACGUGAAAUUGUCAAAAGGGAAGCGUUUGACACCAGUGUUGUUUAGUUGAAAAUCAAUUCAAUAGUUUUUGAUUUUGAGUAGUAUUGACUUCAUCAGCUUGCUGCUCUCUUUUCGGAAAUUAUUGAAUGCACUUUUCAGUUAACAAGUCAACAUCAAUUUCUUUUGUUGUAAAAGGGUAAGAGGAAGGUGGCUUUCUUUUCGGAGAAAGUGUUUAUAGCCUUGUGCCUCUGCAAUCGGAGAGACUGAGGUCUGCAGCGUAGAUCCUUCUUGGGAUUAGAUUACAGUUGGUGCUAAGUUAUAGCUUUUCAUAGACAACUUGUUGACUAUAGUUUAGUCUUGUAGCUUACUCGCUUAUGCUAUUUUACCUACGCUUAGGAUGUUGAUAGUCACAGCGUGUAC